rnacentral:rRNA from 1 species
AUGGACAUGGAUCCGGACGACUACUCGGUGCCAACCCAAAUAAGAAGAGGGGACAUGAUUUCUCCAUCGAGGAUAAUGAAUUGUUGUGUGAGGCGUGGUUGGCCACUAGUAUUGAUCUGUUUCAUGGCAUGGAGCAAAAAGACAUGGCAUUUUGGCAAAGUGUGCAUGAUUGGUUUCACAAGCAAAAGUAUUGCGAUGUGUACCGCAUCGGAAGUGAUCAUGAUCGCAAUCCGAAGUCGCUCGGCCAUCGAUGGUACAACAUUCAAGAGGUUGUCAGUAAGUAGUGUGGCUUUUUACAAACAAGUGCAUGACCAGUGGCCAAAUGGCGCAGCACUCCAAAAGCAAGUAAGUUGUGUGGCUUGUUACUCCACGUGUUAG